rnacentral:rRNA from 1 species
UGGGGAAUCUUCCGCAAUGGACGAAAGUCUGACGGAGCAACGCCGCGUGAGUGAAGAAGGUUUUCGGAUCGUAAAACUCUGUCUUUUGGGGCGAACGUGAGUAUGGUGAACAAUCAUAGUCAGUGACGGUACCAAAGGAGGAAGCCACGGCUAACUACGUGCCAGCAGCCGCGGUAAUACGUAGGUGGCAAGCGUUGUCCGGAAUUAUUGGGCGUAAAGAGCGCGUAGGCGGGAUAGUCAGUCUGUUGUAAAGUGCGGGCUCAACCCCGUGAUGGCAAUGGAAACAGCUAUUCUUGAGUGCAGGAGAGGAAAGUGGAAUUCCCAGUGUAGCGGUGAAAUGCGUAGAUAUUGGGAGGAACACCAGUGGCGAAGGCGACUUUCUGGACUGUGUCUGACGCUGAGGCGCGAAAGCCAGGGGAGCGAACGGGAUUAGAUACCCCCGGUAGUCCUGGCCGUAAACGAUGGGUACUAGGUGUGGGAGGUAUCAACCCCCUUCCGUGCCGGAGUUAACGCAAUAAGUACCCCGCCUGGGGAGUACGGUCGCAAGACUGAAACUCAAAUGAAUUGACGGGGUCAUAGCUGUUUCCUG